rnacentral:rRNA from 1 species
UACGUAGGUGGCAAGCGUUAUCCGGAUUUACUGGGUGUAAAGGGCGUGUAGGCGGGAAAGCAAGUCAGAUGUGAAAACCAUGGGCUCAACCUGUGGCCUGCAUUUGAAACUGUUUUUCUUGAGUACUGGAGAGGCAGACGGAAUUCCUAGUGUAGCGGUGAAAUGCGUAGAUAUUAGGAGGAACACCAGUGGCGAAGGCGGUCUGCUGGACAGCAACUGACGCUGAGGCGCGAAAACGUGGGGAGCAAACAGG